AGUGAACGCUGGCGGUAGGCCUAACGCAUGCAAGUCGAACGGCAGCACAGUAAGAGCUUGCUCUUACGGGUGGCGAGUGGCGGACGGGUGAGGAAUACAUCGGAAUCUACUUUUUCGUGGGGGAUAACGUAGGGAAACUUACGCUAAUACCGCAUACGACCUACGGGUGAAAGCAGGGGAUCUUCGGACCUUGCGCGAUUGAAUGAGCCGAUGUCGGAUUAGCUAGUUGGCGGGGUAAAGGCCCACCAAGGCGACGAUCCGUAGCUGGUCUGAGAGGAUGAUCAGCCACACUGGAACUGAGACACGGUCCAGACUCCUACGGGAGGCAGCAGUGGGGAAUAUUGGACAAUGGGCGCAAGCCUGAUCCAGCCAUACCGCGUGAGUGAAGAAGGCCUUCGGGUUGUAAAGCCCUUUUGUUGGGAAAGAAAAGCAGCAGGUUAAUACCCCGCUGUUCUGACGGUACCCAAAGAAUAAGCACCGGCUAACUUCGUG
rnacentral:rRNA from 1 species